CCGGUGGGGGACAUGGGGUGCCCCAGAUGGGGACGGGGGGGACAGGCAGGAGGACAGGGGACAGGCGGGGACAGGUGGCUGGGGGGGAUCAGAAGCGGGGUGGCAGCAGCUGGGGGGAUGAAGCCGGGAUCCAACACCCCCCGAGAGCCGCCGGUGACCGAGGGCAGCCGCUCCGGUCCCCCCGCGUGUCCCCCGUUGUCCCCCCCGCCGUGACGUCACCAGCCGCCUCCCGGGACAAGUAACCGGGAACAGGCCGGGCUGGAACAGCCUAUCCUGGAUUACUUGAACCGGGCCGCGGCCGCCGCACCCCCGCCGUCACCCCCGGCUCCCUCCGUCCCCGCCGCUCCCGCCGUCCCCGCUCCUCUCCGCUCCCCCGGCGGCGCCUCCGGAAAAUCUGUAGGAAUGCAGAGGAAUCCCCCGGCACCCGCUGCCCAAUUUGGGGGCGGUUUUAAUUGCUUUUCAAUUACGGAACGAAACUGCCAGAGCCAGUUCCGGGGACAACUGGGACAAACUGGGACAAACUGGGACCGGACUGGGACCGGACCGAAGCCCCGCCCCCGCCAACAUCCGGGCACCUCGAGCCGCAGCCCCGCCCACCUCCCCUGCAUCACCAUUGGUCGCUGAUAAAGCCGCAGAGAAGGAAAUUCCCGGCGGAAAUUCCGCUGCGUUUGUCGGGAACUGCUGCCCCGGGACCCCUCUGAGGGGCGAUUUGGGGUUCUGGGAAACCCCAGAACUGCUGGGAAUGCUGG